CGGAUAGGUAGCAGCUAGCUUAGCUACCCAGCCUACCUUCACCAAGCUUUACUGAAGUAAAGGGUUAACGGGAACCCGGAGUUUAGCCUCGCAGGUUGGAGACCUAUCUGAAGCCCCAGCCACCCUGGUCACUUUUCAACAGCUAUUCUGUGCCCAAAAAGCAGAACACAGAGUCGGAUGGACAGCUAAAAGGCAACGGGCUGGGUAAUGGAGACGAGCCGGCUGUUACAGGCUGCAGCUUGGCAGUGGGAGCUGGACAGGAGACGACCGGAGGAGGCUGGAACCUGAGGUACCAGGAAACUGCAGCUGCUCGUGCUGGGUUAUCUUCUCAAGGACGACUGCAGCUGUUGAGUUGUUUCCUCCAUGAGGAUACCCCAUACCAACUGCAGGGCAUCCGAGCUUUCCACUCCACAGCUAAUCUAAUGUACCACAACUGUCAAGUGUGCUAAAAGCUACAAAACAUGCCAACAUAGUCACUUUUAACUUGCUAAUCGAUGGCAUAACUCGAGCUCAAAAUCAUGAGUGGAAUUUUAAAUUGAAACUCCUGGAGACAGAGUGAGGCUGAGGAGGGGAAACCUUUUCAUCAGCGCCAGGUAUACUGCUGCAACCGGCUCUGUAAAGCCCAAUACGAAAUGGUAAACAAGGCUUCAAUAUACUAUAAAAAAAAAAAUAAAAUCUGUACAAACCUGAAAAUCUCUCAACAGGGGUGUCAGAAAAAAUACAUUAAAACACAGUGGAAUACUGCAGUGUUCAAAAACGGCUGAUAUCUGUCAAAUAAUUAUACAUUUUAGCUGAUUUAAAUACAGUAUAAGAACAAAUUAAUAUUCGUUUAAAAAAAAAAUACAAAUGUUUGAUAUGGACAGCAAAGACUUUUCCUGUUUUUUUUCUUUUUUUUUACAAUCAACACAUAGAUCAAUAUUUUUUAAUGUGGUUUUACUAGAUAAUUCCAAUUUAACUAAGGAAUCUGUACAAUAGUUAAAAAAAGACCAUAUUUAAUCCUUAAUGAGUGUUUGUCUUGUUUUUACAGUUAUUCUGUGAUUUUGCUAGAUAUUAUCUGUAAUUUAACAAAACGGAAAAUCUGGAAAAUAACAUUAAAUUGUUCAAAAAGUGAUGGUUAAAAACAGCGAACAGUAAAAUCAAGAGUCGUGUUUUAUUAGGUUGUAUGCUGGUACUAUCAUCUAUAACAUCAUGGUUUAUCUUCACAUCUCUGUGUGUCCAGUGUCACCUGAUUGAAGGCAAGUAAACAUAGAAGUAAACUUUUCUCCAAGAAACGUUGCCUUCGGGUCAUAACAUAUUUAUUCCCAAACCCAUUUCUUACUCACCCAUAGUCUGAAGCCACGAGGACCUCACUUGUCCCAGCAGCAGAGUGCAGCUUCACAACGGAAAGGCGGAUGAACAGCCUCGUCAUAAUGUUUACACCUGCCAGUCUGCUCUUGUAUGCUUGAGAAAUCAUUGUAGAUUAAGAGGCAAUCUCUUCCCAGGCAGAUAAAGUGACAAACCAUCAAAUGCACUCAUCUGAGACAGAGGCUACUCACAAAAAAGAAAAAAAAAAAAAACACAACAACUGCUUCUCUGUAUAAAUCUUUUCUUUGGACUGUUUUAGUUUAUGCAAAGUGUACAGUGAAAUGAGACACAGCACUGGAACUGCAUGGAUAUCGCAGUUAAAUAAUGGCAGCUCUGAGCCAUCAGGAUAUCUCAUAUUUCUCUCAGUGUAAUAACUGCAGGUGCAAUUGGUUUCAGUGGUCACGCUUCAGGGUUCAGUCCUUAAUACCCUGAACCACAAUCUUUGGAUGCAAUAAAGGUGCAAUCAGUAAAAGUUGACUCCUAAAGUUCCUCUCUGUUCAUUGAUUAAACCCUUAAAAAUUCAUCCCCGUGCCUCAAAGCUACAUAUUUAGAAGUUUAUUUCAAAGAAUAUAAUCUCUAUCUAUCGAAUAUUGUCAGAUCUAUGAAGUCUCUGCCUCUCUCUCCACCUGCUAGCUGCAGCUUAAGCACAUCAGCUCAACUGUGCUCAAACAUCACUUAGCAUACAUUAGUUGUAACAUUGGAGAAAAUAAGUUAUACGUGUUGAAACCUUCUUUUCACUCAUGAUAUAGCUACUUUGAAAAAACCAUAUGAACACAAUAACAAAUUAAAAAACUUCAUUUUCAUUGAUCUAGUGAGAGGUUAAAGAAACUAUAGUCAGCGCCUGACAAACAAGGUCUAUGAACACAUAACUGUAAAUAUUGCAACAUUACACAGACUGCACAUUCUCAGUCUGAAUGCACAUCCGCUACCUCUUGCACUGUGUACAUUACAUAAAUAAUACCAUUUUACCUGUUUGUAUUUCUUGUAUUACCUAUUUUAACAUGUUGUAUUUAUAAAACCAUGCUGCAUGUGUAUGUGCCGAAUAAAAAAAAUCUAAUCUAAACAUUAGCCAGUUCGU